UAAAAAUUUAAUUUGUAAUAUUUAAGUAGUAUUAGUUAAGGUCUUGAAAUUUAAAAAAUUUGGCGGUAUUUUAGUCUAUUCAGAGGAACCUGUUUUGUAAUCGAUAGUCCACGAUGGAUCUCACUUAAAUUUGUUUUUAUAGUUUAUAUAUCGUCGUUAAAGAAUAUUUUAUAAGAAUAUUAAUUUUCUUAAUUUUUUAUUGAAAUAAUAUCAGAUCAAGAUGUAGCUUAUGUUUAAGUUUAUAAUGGGUUACAUUUAUUAUAUUAUAUUGGAUUUAAUUUUGUAAUAAUUUAAUGAAAAUGGAUUUGAUAGUAAUUUUAUAUAGAUUAAUAAAUUGAUAAUAGCUCUAAAAUAUG
rnacentral:rRNA from 2 species